UCUGAAACGCGCUCUGCAGGUAGGACAGGUAACAGAUCUUUCUGCUUCAGAAACACUUCAGAUCGAAAACAACAGUGAAAACCUCACUGAUGAGAAGACGCCAUUAAAUAUCACACCUCACGCAACGAGGCAGUCAUGGCAGUAGAUGACAGUCAUGGCCUAAUGGUUAGAGAGUCGGAACCCAAAGGGUGUGGGUUCGAGUCUCAGGUCCAGCAGGGAUUGUAGGUGGGAGAAGUGAAUAUCCAGUACUCUCUCCACCCUCAAUACCACAACUGAGUCACUCAUUAUGGAGAACAGAGAGAGCAGUGAGAGAUCUUCAUCUCCAAAACCCAUCGGAGAGUCUCUGCAGAGCAACAGAUCCAUGAAUCCCCCUAAAUCCAGUGAUGAUCCAGUGACCUUUGACCCCAGUAUCUACAGUAAGAGAUCUUCAUCUCCAGAACCCAGCUGUGUGUCUCUGAAGAGUGACAGAUCAGAAGGUCAUCCUCCUGAUCUCAGUGAAGAAGCAGUGACCUCUGACCCCAG